UAAAAGAGCGUACUAUAGGGAUACUGCUACAUUGAUGUUCAUAGCAGCACAAUUCACAAUAGCUAGACUGGAAACAACCUAGAUGCCCUUCAAUAGAUGAAUGGAUAAAAAAAAUGUGGCAUUUAUACACAAUGGAGUAUUACUCAGCACUAAAAAAUGACAGAAUCAUGGCAUUUUCAGGGAAAUGGAUGGCAUUAGAGCAGAUUAUGCUAAGUGAAGCUAGCCAAUCCCUAAAGAACAAAUGCCAGAUGUCUUCUUUGAUAUAAGGAGGGCAACUAAGAACAGAGCAGGGAGGAAGAGCAUGGGAAGAAGAUCACCAUUAAACAGGGACGAGAUGGGGGAGGGAAAUGGAGAGAGAAGGGAAAUUGCAUGGUAAAGGAAGGAGACCGGCAUUGUUAUACAAAAUUACAUAUAAGAGGAAGUGAGGGGAAAGGGGAAAAAAACAAGAGAGAGAAAUGAAUUACAGUAGAU
rnacentral:lncRNA from 1 species